GACGAACGCUGGCGGCGUGCCUAACACAUGCAAGUCGAACGGAGAUAUUAAUGAAGCUUGCGAUUUAAUAUCUUAGUGACGGACGGGUGAGUAACGCGUGGGUAAUCUGCCUAUAAGUGGGGAACAACAGUUGGAAACGACUGCUAAUACCGCAUACGCUGCGCAAGCAGGAAAGGUGGCCUCUGAAUAUGCUGCCGCUUAUAGAUGAGCCCGGGUCUGAUUAGCUAGUUGGUGGGGUAAAGGCCUACCAAGGGGACGAUCAGUAGCCGGCCUGGGGAGGGGAACGGCCCACAUGGGACUGGGGACCGGCCCAGGCUCCUACGGGGGGAAGCAGGGGGGAAUAUUGCGCAAUGGGGGAAACCCUGACGCAGCGACGGCGCGUGGGCGAUGAAGGCCUUAGGGUUGUAAAGCUCUGGUUUAAGGGACGAAUGUUACGGGGAGUAAUAUGCCCUGUAAAUGACGGUACCUUAAGAGGAAGCCCCGGCUAACUACGUGCCAGCCGCCGCAGUAACAC
rnacentral:rRNA from 1 species